rnacentral:rRNA from 1 species
GAUGAACGCUGGCGGCGUGCCUAACACAUGCAAGUCGAGCGAUUCUCUUCGGAGAAGAGCGGCGGACGGGUGAGUAACGCGUGGGUAACCUGCCCUGUACACACGGAUAACAUACCGAAAGGUAUGCUAAUACGAGAUAAUAUGCUUUUAUCGCAUGGUAGAAGUAUCAAAGCUUUUGCGGUACAGGAUGGACCCGCGUCUGAUUAGCUAGUUGGUAAGGUAACGGCUUACCAAGGCGACGAUCAGUAGCCGACCUGAGAGGGUGAUCGGCCACAUUGGAACUGAGACACGGUCCAAACUCCUACGGGAGGCAGCAGUGGGGAAUAUUGCACAAUGGGCGAAAGCCUGAUGCAGCAACGCCGCGUGAGCGAUGAAGGCCUUCGGUCGUAAAGCUCUGUCCUCAGGAAGAUAAUGACGGUACUUGAGGAGGAAGCCCGGCGUAACUACGUGCCAGCAGCCGCGGUAAAGGUCACGUCG